GUCCCCGGCGUCCGGGCGCCCUGCAUGGAUCCCCCACCCCAGCUCCUGCUCCCCGGCGGCGGCCGGUGGGCAGAAAGACCGAAACCCACUCACGGCCGCCUGCCGAAUCGCGGCUCUGCUGUUUGUGGGGCGUGCUAGAAACGUGGUCCUAAAAAGAAUGGCGUCCAUUUACAUAAUGCUUUGUUUGCGUUUCGCAAGUUUCUUUCGGUUAAAGCCACAGAAACCCCACCUCCUGCCCUUGUGUCGUUUCCACCGCGGCACCCUUUUCCGACAUUAGAAACAAUAGUGUACGCCUGUGGAGGCCUCGUUUGUUCAGGGGCUGCCGGCCAGGGCUUCAGGACGUUUCUGCGGCUUUCCCCGCGCGGCCUGGGCUCCCGCGGCUGCUUUUCGGGCCCAUGGGCGCAGCCACUGCGCCAGGCUCAAGGGGGGCGGCCCCGUCAGGGCCCGCCAUCUUGGAAGGCCUUUUUUGCCGGUUCUUCCCGCUGAGGAAGUGUCGCUCAAGACGCUGGCCUAUGAGUUGUGAUUUCUGCCUUUUCCCCUUCCUCCUUGGGCUAAGCCAGACCAGAAAGGGCCCCGUGCGCAACGUGCUUCACAAUCUCUCAGGGAAAGCGGCUAACGUGGCGCUACUCCGCCUCCCCUGUUCCUUACCCUUGGGGCGGCCGCCAUGUUUCCUGAACACAAAAUGGCGACACGUGGUUAGCAUUCGUCGCCAACGAGAAAUUGGGGUCGGCCCGAAAGCUCUAGAAUGCACCCCUCUUCCUCCCCGGGGCCUUCCACCUCCGCGAGUUUUAUGACUUAAAAAAGCCCACAGGCUGGUCUGAAGGUCGGAGGCCUAAUUUUAACGCGUUUUCCUCCCUUUAAUUUGAAACGGGAACGCGAAUGACUGUAAAAUGUGGGCACAAUAUUUAAUCUCUCGCCUUUUUAAAGCUUAAUAGUGGAUAAUAGGGGGGCAGUAUCAAGGGAUAAUUUGGGUCCCCACAGUACCAAAGCAUUUAGAAACCUCUGUUUAAUUUAAGGAAUGAGAUAAGUUACUGCUUUUCUAGACUUCCUAGCAUGGGCUGUUGUGCUGGAGAGAACGAGAGCUACGAAGAGACUACAGUGCCUCUGACUUUUUCAUAGGACAGUUGGCCGGUGAAUCUUAUUAAUAGUUUACCACAAUUAAGUGUUCAUUUUUAGUCUAGAAGGGACAGGCGUUUAUUGUGCAUUGGCCAGUGCCAGCACAUCCGAUGCAAGGCAGUUCACCGUAUUCUAUCUUUAAUUUUUACCAUGGUCCUCUGAGGUAGGUGUUCUUAUCUCUCUCUCUCUCUCUCUCUUUUAAACAGAGGAAGACAAACAUAAAGAUGAAGUGCUUAAUUCAAGGUCACACAAUGUCGGGGAUGGACCUCCAGAUUUCCUUACUGGAAAACAAGCUCAGGGCUCCCACUGAUUGUACAUUAUGAGACGGAGUCUUGCUAUGUUGCCCAGGCUGGUCUUGAACUCCUCACCUCAAGCGAUCCUCCCGUCUUGGCCUCCCAAGUGUCAGGAUUACGGGCAUGUGCUAUCACACCCAACCUGAUACAUUGCCUUUAUAAAUUUUUUUUUCUUUAUUCUAAAAACCAGAAAAAACAAAACUGGAUACAUGUGCAGAACAUGCAGGUGAGACGUGGUCUUGUAACACAGUGGUUAAGAAUGUGACUUUGGAGCCAGCCUGCUAGGGGCUGAAUUCUGACUCAGCCAUUUACUAACUGUGUGACCUUAGGUAAGUCAUUUACCUUCUUUGUCCCUCAGUUUCAUCUCGGUUAAGUAGGGAUAAUGAUAGCACCUAUUUUAUAGGGUUAUUGUGAGGAAUAAAUCCAAGUAAAAUGCUUAGAAUAGUAACUGAAACAUAGCACUCAUUAGGAAUGCUUUAAUUUUCAUUUAUUUGAGUAUUAAAGGUUGAAUUUUCAGAGGUAUUUUGGACCUUUGUAUUUUUUCUUUAAAUCACUUAUUCAUGACUUUUGAACUUUUUUUUUUCUUUUAGAGACAGGGUCUUGGUUUGUUGUCUAGGCUGGAAUGCAGUGGUGCAAUCAUAGCUCACUGUAGCCUUGAACUCUUGGGCUCAAGAGAUCCUCCUGCCUCAGCCUCGUGAGUAGCUGGGCCUACAGGCGCCUGCUACCACACCUGGCUAAUUUUUUAUUUUUUGUAGAGAUGGGUUCUUGCAGCCCAGACUGGUCUUGAGCUUUGGCCUGAAGUGCUCCUCCUGCCUUGGCCUCUCAAAGCAUUGGGGUUACAGGUGUGAAGCACUGCACCUUGCCUACACAUUUUUUCCAAUAAUUUUUUUUAUUAAUUUGUAAGAGUUAACAUGUCGACUAUCAUAUAUAACAUAGAAUUGUUCCCAUUUUGUCAUUUCCUUUCAACUUUGUCUAUGUAGCUUUUUUUCUGUGUGCAAAUUUUACAUUUUUAGGUAGUCAGAAAAUCUCUUCCCUUGUAAUUUUUUCUGCUACUAGACCAAUGUUUAGAAAAAAGCGUGCUUCCCCACCUCAAAAUUAUAAAAAUAGUUACUUGUUCUUUUUGAGUACUGUGUGUGUUUAAAUCUUUAAUCUUUAAAUUUAAAUCUUUGAUCCAUCUGGUAUUUAUUUUGAUAUGAAGAGAGUGGUUGGGAUCUGGCUGUAUUUCUUUUUUCUUUUUUUUUCUUUUUUCUUUUUUUGACGAAGUCUCACUGUUGCUCAGGCUGGAGUGCAAUGGCAUGAUCUCGGCUCAUCACAACCUCUGCUUCCUGGGUUCAAGCGAUUCUCCUGCCUCAGCCUCCCGAGUACCUGGGACUACAGGCACUCGCCACCAUGCCCGGCUGAUUUUUGUAUUUUUAAUAGAGAUGGUUUCACUAUGUUGGCCAGGCUGGUCUCGAACUCCUGACCUUGUGAUCUGCCCACCUCAGCCUCGAAAAGUGCUGGGAUUACAGGCGUGAGCCACUGCGCCCAGCCUUGUAUUUUUUUUCAGUUUGGGUAGCUGUCCCUAAUUCAUUUGUUAAAGGAGAAGCAAGAGCAAGAACCUUUAAUCUGUUCUCCUCUUCCCUAAUUUGAAAGUAGCUUGUUAUUUUGAAUAUCACUUUCUCUGAAAUAGCACAUCUCCAUCUCAGAGAAUGGAUUUAAUGUUUGGAUACAGCCAAAAGUCAUUUCAUUACCAAACCAUGGGGUGAAUAUACCAUGUAAAGCAGUUUGGGAUCAGAACUCACAGUCUGAAUUGUAAGUGAUGAGACUGCUGUCUCUCUGCUACAGCUUCUUGGCUGGCUCUGAAGGCUCUUUGAAGGCAGAUCCUAACAAGGGGACUGCUUUGAAGGGCCAUUGUUCAUUUGGAAUGAUAAAGUCUAUGUUGUUCAAAAAACAAAUGCUUGUAGCAGGUAUUUUUUCACUCCAGACUGAGAAUAUUGGUGGGAUAUUGAUAAGGGGUACUGAAUGGUAAUAAACAUGUGCUCUAGCUCUGUGCUAGUCAGCUUAUUUCAGAACUCUAGUUUGAUUCAGUUUCUUGCCUCUGACUCAAAAUGGAGGGAGAGUGAUUUUUACAUAAGAGAACACACCCACAUAUCCUUUUGGCAGCAGCUACCUGCCAGAGAUGUUGAAGAAGAGUAGCCAACCUUUACACAGCAGAUAUUGUGUGCCAGUCAUAGUCCUAAGUAUAAUACCUUACAUGUAUAAACUUCUUAUAAGGUUGGUGCUCUGUACCGAAUUGAAUAGUAUCCCCCAAAAUUCAUGUUGUCCCAGAACCUAUGAAAGUGAUCUUACUUGAGGGAGGGGGGAGGGGGGAGGGAUAGCAUUAGGAGAUAUACCUAAUGCUAAAUGACGAGUUAAUGGGUGUAGCACACCAGCAUGGCACAUGUAUACAUAUGUAACUAACCUGCACAUUGUGCACAUGUACCCUAAAACUUAAAGUAUAAUAAUAAUAAAAUAAAAAAAAAAAAGAAAGUGAUCUUACUUGGAAAUAAGGUCUUUGCACAUAUGAUCAAGUUGAGAUGAAGUUGUACUGGAAAGUCUGUCUAGUGACUGGUGUUGUCAUAAGAAGAGAGGGACACAGAGGGAAGAUGGCCACAUGAAGAUGGAGGCAGAGAUUGCAGUUAUGCUGCUGCAAACUAAGGAAUGGCUCUGGCCCUCCAAGGAUUGCUGAUAACCACCAGAAACUAGAAGAGACAAGGAAGGAUUCUUCCCUAGAGCCUUCAGAGGGAGCAUGGCCCUACUGACACCUGGAUUUCAAACUUGUAGCUUCCUAAACUGCAAGAGAAUAAAUUUCUGUUGUUUUAAGCCA